UGCGCAGGCGGAAGAAUAAGUCAGUGGUGAAAUACUGCCGCUCAACGGUAGGGCUGCCAUUGAUACUGUUUUUCUUGAGUAUGGUCGAGGUAGGCGGAAUGUGCGGUGUAGCGGUGAAAUGCAUAGAUAUCGCCCAGAACGCCGAUUGCGAAGGCAGCUUACUAAACCAUUACUGACGCUGAGGCACGAAAGCGUGGGUAGCGAACAGGAUUAGAUACCCUGGUAGUCC
rnacentral:rRNA from 1 species